UGGGGAGUCGUCCAGUGGCAGGACACAUGACUCUGGAUCAUGUAACCGGGGUUCGAAUCCCUGCUCCCCAGCCA
rnacentral:tRNA from 1 species